rnacentral:rRNA from 1 species
UACGGAGGAUGCAAGCGUUAUCCGGAAUUAUUGGGCGUAAAGCGUCCGUAGGCGGUUAUCCAAGUCUGCUGUUAAAGCGCGAGGCUUAACUUCGUACAGGCAGUGGAAACUGGGUGACUGGAGUAUGGUAGGGGUAGCGGGAAUUCCCAGUGUAGCGGUGAAAUGCGUAGAUAUUGGGAAGAACACCAGCGGCGAAAGCGCGCUACUGGGCCAUUACUGACACUCAUGGACGAAAGCUAGGGGAGCGAAAGGG